CGUUGUUGCUGUGCUGAGUUCCCAGUUUAGUGUAGGCUUUGUUUUGUUUGAUUUGGAAUUUUGAGUCUUCUCUGCUUGGGUUCUGAUUAGCUGAGUUGUAGUUGUGUUUGUUCGAUUAUUCCGAGUCUCUGUUGCUUGUUUUCUUCCGAGUUGCUUUUGUUUUAUUAAAUCUGUUUGCGAUGAGUCUGAUUUGCAGCACUAAGUCGAGUAGGCGCGUUGGUAGUUUGUGGUUUUCUGAGUUAGUUUUGGAUUAAGUGAGGCUGCCUUGUUGAUUUGUUUUUCUUUAUUUUACAUAUUUGUCUCCGCUAAGUCUAAAAGUUGAGUCAUUUAGCGUGUGUGUUCUUUCGAGUGUUGGCGAUUUCCCUUGCACAUCCAGCCAAUGCUACUGUAUUUUAGUUAUGUUGAUAGUUAAAAUUGUUGAAUUGAUUUUGUUUGGCUUGUUGACUAAAUAAAUGAUUCUUGGCAAAUUUUUCUUUGAUUUAGUUUAAGACUUUUUCUGGACAUUCGGUUUAAUUUAGUAAGAUUAGAUAAGUGAUAAUUAAUUAGUUUAAGCAAUUUUCUUUUUAGAGACAUAUUUAAAUUUAGGUUUAAGAAAAACUUCUCUCUAUAAAAUAUUGUUCUAAUUCGCCUAGGUUAAAGAUUUAAGGAUUGCGAAAAAUAAUUUUAAUCUCUGUGGACGAAUCUUAAAUAUUAAAACGGUGAUCGUGCGCUUGCGAUUUAAAAGUAAUAUUUCUAGCACAUCAAGUUUUUGGCGCCGCUGCCGGGGAUUAAAAUUAAUUUUUCGC
rnacentral:lncRNA from 1 species